UCUGCUUGACCACAGAGCAGGCCGCUUUCCUUGUGCCUGAUGGUGCAUGGAUUUUCACAGGCAGCCUCCUACCCAAGGCCUUGGUCAGCUCAGGACUCCACUAAUGCUUGCUCAAUCACAAGGCAGAGAACAUGGAGAAGAUGAGAUGUCUCUCACAAGUAUCUACCUGCAGCAUGAAGGACCUGGAUGCUGCACUCCUUUGGGCACUGUUUCAGUCUUAACUGAAAAUCACAGCUUACCAGUUCCUAGACCAACCCAAUUGCUCAGGUAAUCACAAGCACAUCUUUGGAUUUCAUGUACAGUCCAAGACAGCUUUCUGUGCUGUGGACAGAUUGUAAAACUGAGUUUGGUCUUGGACAGCAUCUACAAAUCUGCAGAGACAUCCCUGGAAGUGUGAUGUUAUUGCUGAACUGUAGUGGUGAAUACAGCCAGCUACAAAGCUGUGUGAAUGAAGAAAUGAGUGGGAAUAAUUGCUUUGGUAUUACUUGAGGCUACCUUUUCCAGCCCUUUGCUCCACAUUACCUAACAGCCAGACCUGAGUCAUUGCCAUCUGAACCAUCACAGUGCUGGAGCUCAAAUAAAAUAAAAAGGGAGAUAAUGUUUAAUAAUAUGACAAUGCUUUUCUAGUCCCCCUUGCUGGCUCAUGAAAACUUGGAAUGAAGUACAGUUUUAACAGUGGAAUGCUGAAAAGUUUGCCUUGACUUUGUGCUGCAUGUUUGUGGUAGGAGUCAGCUGAUGAGUUCCUGCCUGCGUGGGUCGCAGAGGGGUGAAAUUCUUGACCCUGGACUUCCCAAGAGCUUCAGAGUCAGGAUAACACAGACAUCUCGGCUGAUUUGGUUUAGUGGCACAAAAAGCAGUCAGUAGAGUAUCUGUAGAAUGGGAUGGGUUUUAAAAGGGUUAUAAAUCUUUCUUUCUAAGAGAACUAAAACUGUGCUAGGGUCCGUGUUUUGAUGGCUGACCUCAAGCUGAUCAUAGCAGGGAGAUGGCACAGGAUUUCCUUUCUAAGGGUAAAUACCAAAGAGGAGAACCUCAAAGCACUAGCAGUGUGGUAACCCCCUACCUCCUAUUAAAUUACAUUGCAGCUGGUUCAUUAUCCUUUCUGCAGUGAGCUGAAGAAAGCCAAGUACAGCCUGAUGGGCUCCUGGCUGUGAUCCCAGGGCUAGCUGGUCAUGAGAAGCUAGUACACUUCUUGGUUUCAGUGAAUCCCCGGGCUAUGAUGAACCUCCCACACACAGGUCUCCUUGACUGUGAAAACCAUCUCUAUGCCUGGUAUAAUGGUAUUGAGGGAUGGGCUAGCAAGGGGAGAUGGUCCAUGUCACAUCUCUGGAAAUUUCUGCUAUGUAACUUGAGAAAAGAGGCUAAAAUUUGUCAGGGAUUUCCUAAAGUCUAAGUAAUCUAAUUUUGUCUGGUUUUGAGUCUUGCAGUCUUCCUAAUGCUCAGGGAUCCUGAACAGGAGAAAACCUCUACUGAGUUUUGUCAAAACCACGAACAUUCUUGGUCUUACGAGUACAAUUGAACCCCUUGUCUCUUUGCUGUGCCUACUAUGCUUUUUAUGUUGGUAUUUGAGCAAGGCACUCAAAUAAAGUAAGUUCUUGUAAGAAUGGGUAAUAAUAAAUAUGAGACCAUUGUAAAAAUCUGCUUUACAGCGCUGACAGAUCAUUUUAAUUUGCUUUGUCUAAAACAUGAGAUGAAGGGCAAAGACUUCACAGAUGUCCAUAGUGUUGGGAAGGCUGGGGCCCAUUUCCCAGUUUAUUUCAUAUAGGCAAGUGUGCACACAUUCAGGACAUGGGAAGUUAAGAAAUUACUGGCCAGUUGCAAGUUGCAGAAGAUAUCUGUAGGUGCCAUCUGAGAUGUACAAAAACAGCUUAAAAGUGGUAAAGGUGCUCUUGAAAAUGGAAUGCAGGUACUUUUGAACGCUUGUCUCCUGUGAUAUUCCAUGCCAAUUAGUUACGAACAUUUUUCCAGCUUUAUUGUUUGAAGGUUCUUCAUCUGUGAACAUUUAUAGUUGAAGCAAUCAGGCAGCAGAUGAAAGGGCAGUACUCAAAGCUUUGAAUUUAAACAAGAGAGAUAAACAGGUAUCAAACUGUAGGUAGGUAUGUAGUUCCAGUGCUUUGAGCAGAUGAACACCUGGAUGUAAGCCAGUGUUGAAGUGUAUCUCUAACUCAAAACUCAAAGAGUAAUCACAUUAAUGUGACAGCUCAAAAUUAGGAAAAUUGCCCCAGUGCUUUGGAAUGGACAGACUGAAAAUAAAAUCAAACUAAAGAGGCCUUAUUUGAAAUAUGGCAUAAAAACUGAGAAAAACAACAAUAUUCUGGGUGCUGGAAUGCCAUCGACUGUGUUAUGUCUACCACCAGACAAGGGCAGUCGGAAGUGCAGGCUGUCAAGAUGACUGGACAAAGGGCUGGCUGGUUAGUCACUAGGUGCCAGAUGGACACCACCAACUGUCUAAAUGAUUUCUCCCUCAUUUGUAAUUGGCCUCAGUUGUGGCUGAGCUCCCUGGCUGUGCCUGCAGUUCUCAGGUCUUCCGUUGGCAGCCGCCUUGGCAUACACCCUGCAGGCAGUGUGCAAGCUCCUGUCAGUAUGACAAUCCCUGAAGGAACUGUGGGUUUUCUGUCAUGCCCUCCUCUAACAAAUUUUGCCUCAUUUGUGGUGUGGAACAUCCAUGUCACCAUUUCAUUCCACCCUCCUUUACUAUUUUUUUUUCCUGCCUGCUUCUCAUUUUCAUGUCAGCUAUUGCAAUCAGUUACAAAGAGACGUUUUCUGAUAUUGGUACAGGACUGCUGACAUUUUCCACCUCAUGCUAUUUUAAGACUGGCAAUUAGGACUGUGUAAAGAUGUCACUUUGUACCCAAAGCAGCUGUGCCUUUAAGCAUCUCUGGCUUCUCCCUUGUGAUCCAAAUCCACACCGAGUGGUCUUGUGGCCUUCUGGCUACAGAGCUGUUCUGGUCUCUGCUCAUCACCCCACUGUCUGCCUCCUGCUAUGUGUCUGGGACUUAUAGCAUUUAUGUGCUUCUGUCUUCUUCACUGACAUGUCUUUGGGAAGUACCAAAGUCUUGAGGCCAAGAAGUCCUUCAAGACAAUUGCUGGGAAACAAGCAAAUGACUUUUCAUGCUGAGUUCAAAAAGUUCUGCAUGUAUUGUUUUGUAAAAGACUCAAAUCCUAGUCUACAAGGUGAAACUGGAGCUGCCGGAUUCAGUCUACUUUUGGAUGGCUUGACAUUUGAACUUAAAGUGACAGGAGAAUGUACUUGCCCUCAUGUAGGUGGUUGCUCCAAAGAGUUCAGAGGUGUUGCAGAGCAUGGCUACUGCCCAGCCAUGAAGCACAAGCACAGCUCUCACUAUCAUUCUGUCUAUUACUGUCUCAGGUGGAUGUCAUUGAGACAGAAAGUAGAAACUGUCUUCACAGGUACCAGACUGACUGCCUUGCCACUCUUUUCUUGGUACUACAGUCUGCUGGGAAAGAAAGCAGAGGGGUCCUACUGUUUUUGGACAGGUCAAUACAAUUGCAAACAUCAAAAUGUCUGACAUUAAGUAGAAAAAAGAUGCAGGACAAAGGAUGAGAAUGGUUUUUGCUAACAGCACACCAGCAAAAGGUGGGAAGAGGUAUGUUCAGUUUAUCAUGUCUGUGCACAUGAUGUAGGUAGUCAUGGAUAGCUAAUUUUCACCCAAAAAUAAGUCUAGCAGUUGGAUCUUGUUCAGCCAACCUCUCAGCCAAGAACCAGCAAAUGAAUAUGGUCACUAAAUUUCCCAGUGAAAGUGGCUGAAGCUGUGUUUUACCCCACAUUUGCAGAGGGCUGCUGGUGGGCCAUAGUCCAUUGUCAUGGCUCAUCUAGGUGAUGCAAUCUGCUGAUCUGACUGUGGGUUUGAGCCCUUCUUUUUUUUCUGUUUCCAAUUCCCACCUUUGAAAUCAGUACUGUAGUAAAUAUCUGCUUGAUAGUAGAGCUCUCAAAAACCGUGGUCAGGGAGACCAAGAGAAUACUGCAAACAAAUGCAACUUUUUCUUACAGGUUGCUAAAUAUCCAAUGCCUUUUGCACACCUAUUUAUCUUUUCUCAUUUCCCCUUACCCCUCCCUCAUGCUCUUCCCACAACAAGAUUCUGUGGAGUCACACAUCACCAUGUAGGAAAUGCUUGUUUAGCAGAGUUUUUUUCCCUAAUAUGUAUAAUACAACAAACUGUCAGACAGACAUGCUAAAUAUACAUCCAUGGACUCAGGGAACACUGCAGAAAGGCAGCAAAUGCUGAAGUUAAUGCUUGUGUUCCUGCACCACCUUGUACUAUUGUGGUAUAUUCUUAUUAUGAAGGUCACAUACUAGCUUUCUUUUCUGCUUCCCAUUCCUGCUGCAUGCUGUGUGGCUUGCUUUGAUAAUUGGAAAUUGCUGCACAAACUGACUGCCACGUCCCAGGAGACAGAAGAAGCUCUAUCACAGCAGCAAAGGAUGAAAAAGAGGAAUCCAGGUCCAGAUAGUAAAGAAAAAGAAGGGAAAAUAAUAAUUAAAAUGUCUCUAUUGCUGCAUGCAUAAACAGAAUUUACAAAAGGGGACUGCUGGAGGAAGAGCUUCUCUGCAGAGUAUGAGGCCAUCUAGCGAGCUGAGGCAUUGUAACAGCUCAGCUUUUUCCAUGGCAUUUUGUCCUGCUUGUCCCCAACAGAACACUUCACAUGCCAGCUGUGAGCCAGGUAUGCACACGGAUACUUCAACAAUAUUCCUCACUGCAAGGUGAAAGGAGAAAAACCCCUGCAGAAGAGGAGAAAGUGACAACAGAAAGAAUGUGGCAGAUGUCAGGGAGCUUGGCAUGUGGGUUUUUAUAAGAAGCUGGAAAUCCAGUUACACUGGCAGUGGAAGGACUAUGUGGUGUGCAACUUUUCACUGAAUACUGUCCUCAGCUGCAUAGUUGGGGAUGACAAGGGGAACUACUCAGCCAGAGGGCACUGCAGCAACUGGGGUGCUGAGAAAACCUUGCCAGGAGCCCUGAGAUAUAGGGUGCUCACUAUUAUGGGAUGUCUUCCCUGACAAAAAAACUACUGAGAAUCAAGGAAAUGGGACAGUGAUGUGCUAAAAUAAUUUCAAGUUCUCAGAGAACUGAUGCUUGUAUUUUAUAGGAUAUUGGACUGGCAGUCCUGGAAGGAAAAUUGCUGCAAUGCAAAGCGUCAUACCUACCAAGUCCUGUCAUGGUGCUUUGCCUCCAAGCAGACCAGACUGGUUGCUUGG